UGGACCAGCUGCUCUGCUGUCCACUUCCAGAGCCAGAGUGUGCCUGGCUGUACAGUGGGACAUUCGUGCACUGUGCUGUGGUGGAGAUGAAGUGGGGCAGUACCCCAGAGGACCUGCUGAUGGGAGCCCCCUUUCCUGCACAGCUCUACAGGGACAUCCAAGUGGCGGUGCAGCGCUCUGUGGGUGCUGACUUUUUCAGACCCCCGUCCAGGAAGUGGGUGAAUGCCAGUAAGAAAGUUCAGGGGGUUGGAGCCACAUAGAGGUUUUGCUCCUCCAACAUGUAUGCUCUACAAGAUGAUGGUGUUGAUGAAUAGUAGCAGCACUAAUUUUUAAUGUUGCAGUUUUAGGAGGAGACUGUAGCAGGUUUCGGAGAAGACAAAUUGUAAUUACACCUUAGGAAAUGUUUGCCAAUUUGCACUGUACUGAGAAUUACAUUUUAUUAGUAUAGCUGGAAAGAGUUUAUUUUGCAAUUCAUUCAGAUAUCAUUUAUCUUUUUAAUACUGCAUGUACAUGCACAAGUAUUACAGUAUAAUGCACAUGUUUCUAUGCACAGGUAAUACCGUUUAUAUGUACAGGUAUUACCGUAUAAUGCACAGGUAUUAGAGCAUUACAGGAAAAGACUCCUUGCCAGCGGUGGAUGCACCAAUUUCUAAACCAGAGAUGCCAAAAAUGAUGAAAGCUUGAUUUUGGGGAAAUCUAUUUUUUAUUACAGUACACAUCACUUUGGCACUAUUCUCACAAGUUUGUGCUAAAUUUUCAAAAUCUUAGACAUAAGACUGAAAAGGGUAACACUGCACUUCCAAACUUUGGUUUGAACCAACAUUGGUUCAAACAAAUGUAUUAUGAAAUACUCAUAAAUAAGUAAACAAUCAACAAAGCAAAAGUGACCAAACUUAACUAUUCAAAAUGCUGCUUACCUAGCCAGUUCGAUCCCCGCCCGGGCUGUGUCGAAGUGUCCCUGAGCAAGACACCUAACCCCCAAAUGCUCUCGACGAGCUAGUCGGUGCCUUGCAUGGCAGCCAAUCACCGUCGGUGUGUGAGUGUGUGUAUCAAUGGGUGAAUGAGAAGCAUCAAUUGUACAGCGCUUUGGAUAAAGGCGCUAUAUAAAUGCCAACCAUUUACCAUUCCAAUCACAAGACAAAAUCAGACUAAACCGUCAAACUGUCAGAGUUGAGCAAGCUGGUUCCUCCAAAACUCUUAAAGCUUCAUGCCAAAAGUAUACCAAUAUGUAUGCGGCCUAUAAUCAAUAUAUAUCACAUGUAUGCUGCCUAUUACUCAUGUAAUCAAUAUGUAAGCCAAUUAACCUAUAUCAUUAAUUACAGAUGAGCUUAUGGAAAUGCAAGAAACCACCAUUAAUCAAAUAUUAAAGUAUGAUUGAGUAUGUCUGUAUAUUUUCAAACUGAUUAACUGCUAAUUUGUGCUAGAAGUAUAGUGACCCAUAUGUAACCUGAAUUGAAUAAAAUAAUGUGUAUGCUUAAAAGGAAAAUUGGAAAGUACAGAAUAACACCAUGUUUUGCAUCAUUAAUCUUUUAUGAUUCCUUUUUGUUAAAAAACAGCUUGCAGGGCAGGAUGUCUUGCGUUGUGGGGGUGGGCUACCUUUGUCAAGGACAGUUUGCAGAACAGCUGUAUGCCUGUACAAUGCGAUAAGAACAUUUAUUUUUAAGAAUAGCUUAUGAUGCAAAAUAUCAUUUCUUUUUGAGCUUAUGAUGCAAAAUGUCAAUUAUUUUGGACAAGAGAACAUUUCAGAAUAGUUUACAAAACAAGUGUCAUCUUUAAAGAAAACAUUCAUUUUUAGAGAAUAGCUUACCAAGCAAAAUUGUGACGAGAGAACAUUUAUUUUUAAAUAGCUCACAAAGCAAAAUUAUAAUUUGAGCGAUUGCCACAAUGAUGUUGGCACCCAAGAGUGCUGAAAUCAUUGUGGCGUGUCAGAGAUCAGCUGGUAUAUUUUAGGAGGAGUUAUAGAAGUGUAUAAAAUGGGUGUGAAACCAACAAUUGACGUUCAGUUCUGCAGAAUUGACCCGGCUUUGUGCACUUGUACUAAUAAAGUCUGAUUUUCCCGAAGAGCUUGCUGAACAAAAUCAGAAUUCUGUGAAAAAAAAUGUCAACAUACUGUGGGUUUGUUUCAGUUUUUUUUUUUUUUUUUUUUUCAAUUGCAAACCCAUUUUUUGAGAGUUAACUUUUUUAGAACUUUGCAUAUGGACUGUAUGUGGACUAAACUGAAUUCUUUUUUUCAUUGCUUUUAUAAAAAAUCAUACAGCCAUCAAAAACUAUGCAUUUCUACAUUCCAAUUUGAAAAUCACUGAAAAUAUUUUAUAUGUAUAUAUAUUCUGUAGGCAUACUAAUAAGGCUUUAAGUAUAAACUAUUCAUUAAACUUGUGGCAGGCUAA